rnacentral:siRNA from 1 species
CUUGGGAUAGAGACGAAUAU